GAAACAGUUCUAGUGUUGGAGCCGAGGAAGCCAACUCUGAAACAUUUGGACCUUUGUUGUCUGACAUCGCUUUUGCCACUCCUUCUUCUUUCCUCCCACCUUUACCUUCCCCACCACCUCCUCCAAACUCCCCUGCCCUCUAUCUCUGGCCCCACUGAUGACCCCUCCAUGUGAGUCGUAGGCUUUUACUACCCAUGAUUUCUUUUCUCCAAGCAAAAGAAAGAAGAGUUUAUUUCAUUCUCAGCAGCAUCCCUGGCCAGCCUCGUCAAAGGCUGUCAAACAAACACAUUGCUAGGAGGAUCACCUCAACCUGUAGGAACUUCCUUCCUGCCAAGAAGCUGGUUCAUUCAUCACCAAGCAUCAUCAUCAUGGAAUUCUCACCCUGCUGGAGGUUCGAGCCAAGACAUAGAAAGAGGACAUUACCUGGGGCAGGAAUCAAUUGCCUAUCACUGGGGAUGCCUGCAGAUCAUUGUCCAGAGUGGCUGCUGUUCACUGAGUGUUUCCUCUGUGCCGGGCACCUUGCACACCUUAUUUUCAGUCUCUGCAGCUGCCUUGUUGAGGGAACACCACAUCACAAGGUCUGUGGGAGCUGGAGAAAACUCUCGCUGACUCCCUGAAUAUAGUCCCAGUGGGAACCACCUUGGGGAGAGGCUCUGUCCAGCUGAACCCUCCAGUGCACAGUAUGCUUGGCUGCAGAGGCUUGGAGUGAGAGAGGAGACCAGAGUCCAGCUUCUCGGACAGCACUCACUGGGGUAGGUUGUGUCUGGCACAUUUUCAGCAACUGCUUUCAAAGUAAUAAUAAUAGGAAUUAUAAUCUAAAAAGAAUGGCUUCCACAUGUCCCUCUGCUUGUUUAAAAUCCAGGUUCACAGCCCUACUUCUUGAAUUCCCAAUUAAGAAGAGUCUGAAGGAAUCCAGUGAUCUCUGCAUUUAACUAUCUUUCAGAAUAAUUUAUCAGCAACUGACUACGACAUUUGAAAAUCACUGAUCUAAAAAUGUCAACAUCCUGUUCACAGACAUUUCAAAGUUUCCUGAAAUAAUAGUUCAAGACUUUCUUUGAGAGUGACUGCCCUAUGAUACAAAGCAAAUGCACAUAUAUGAAAGUAUAUAAUGACCAGAAUAGUCUGGUAAUCCAGUGAGUAUCUAUGAUGUGCUAGGCACUGCACAGAAAAGUUUACAGGCAUUACUGCAUUUAAUCCUUUCUGCAAAUUUUAUGGGGAGAGGGUUAUGAAUGCACCCAUUUCACAAAUUAUAAAACCAUGACUCAGAAAACAAGAGCUGCCAGAGGUCACACAGCUAGUGAGGAACAGAGCUGUGAUUUGGGCCCAGGUUAAUUUUAUUUCCAUUUGAUUCCUUCUUUGAUGAAAACUGGGAGAAAUCAGUGUUUUGUUUUUCCUGAAAAGGAAAUUGAAAUAGGGGAGAGUUUGGGGAUCUGUAUUAGUUUUCCGUGGCUGCUGUACCAAUUUACUACAAGCUUGGUGGCUUAAAACAACAAAAAUGAUGUGUUUUCUCACAGUUCUAGAGGCAAGAAGUCUGGAAUAAGUAUCACUGGGCCAAAAUCAAGGUGUCAGAAGAACUUCACAUCCCCCAAAACCUCCAGGAGAGAAGCCAUUCCUUGCCACUUCCAACUUCUGAGCCUCCAGAUAUUCUUUGACUUGUAUCUCUGUCACGCCAAUCUCUGCCACUGUCUUCACAUGGCCUUCUCUUCUGUGUCUCUCCAAUUUGCCUUUGUAUUUCUCCUAUAAAGACACUAUCAUUGGAUGUAGGGCCUACCUGGAUGAUUUAGAAUGAUCUCCUGUCGAGAUCUGUAAUUAGAUCUAAAAAGGGCCUUUUUCCAAAUGUUACAUGGUGAACAUGUUUUGGGGGAACUAGCAUUCAACCCGCUAUGGCGUCCUCUAGCUAGGAAGUGGUAGAAGCAGGACCUAAUGUAGAUCUAGCCACAAUCCCACAUGGAUUGCUUAGACUGCAUCAGUUGUGAAUGACAGACACCCAGUGCAACUUAAGCUUUCUGCAUUGUUGUUGAAUAGGGGGAGGAUGCAUUGUUGUUGAAUAGGGGGAGGAGGAAAUGGUGGAUACAGAGUCACUGUAGCUGAAGAUGCCAAAGGUAGACAUUUCUAGUUGCAGACAUCAUCUACAUUUUGUGGUCAGGGCUCAAGCCAUCUCUUGGGCAGGCUUUCUUCACCCAGUAGGUGAAAUGUCUUCUGUUAGCUCAACACCCACAGUCCUCUAGUGUGGCCAGUAGAAAGUGACUUCUCUUUCCAUUAACUCAAGAGAAAAAGCCCGAAAAGCUUUGGCCCUGCCAAAAUCACAUCACCCUGGUGAAAUCACAUGAUCAGCCCUAAACCAAUCACUCUAGCCAGGGAGAUCAUUUAUUCAAUAGCAAUAAUAAAUAUAUAUUGAGUACAUUCUAUGUGUCAGGAAUUCUUCAAGAUGUAUAAAAAUACCCCAGCAAACAGAAGACAAAUUCCUACCCUCAUGGAGCUUAUAUUCUAGAGGAAAAUGCAGACAAUUAACAUACAAACAAAUUUUAAAAACUGUCAUUCAAAUUCAGACAGAGAGUAGAGCUAUGUAAUAAAUUAAUUAGGGCAAUGUGCUUAAAAAUGGCCAAAGGUGGUGUGGACUCCUUUAGCCAGUAUGAUCAGUUAAGACCUCUCUGUAGAGGUGGUAGAUGAGGUGCAACUCAAGUCACGGGAGGCAACCGUUUAAAGAUUUGUGGAAGAUCAUUCUAAAUGGAAGGAAUAGCAGGUGCAAAGACAGUGGGGUGGGAACAACCUUAGAGGAACAGAAACAUGGACAGUACAGCUUGACUAUAGUCCAUGAGCAGGAGACAGUAUGAGAUGGAGUACUUCAGUGGUGAAACUGGGAUCUCAAAACCAAAAUGUGAUUUCCAACCCAUCUGCUCUUUAACUCUUUUCUACACAACCUUGCUCAGGAGAGGUAUGUCUGUCCACCAAGCAUAGGUGUCCUGUGCAUUGUGUCACCCCUCUCACUGCAUGGCUAGAAGAUGUUCUUUGAGCAGCUGGAAGAUUGUAAAUAUGACACCAUCUAUCUGGUGGGUGAUUUUUGCUCCUUCUGGUAUAAGAGGAUAUAAGUGGGGAAAUAGAACAAGAGUUAACAAACUCUGUAAGGUCUCAUUGGAUCUUCACCCAAACUCAAACUUGGUCCAAACAAAACACUUUGACAAUAUUUAGGUGUGAGUGGGGGAGUUGAUAAAUGAUGUUUUCUCUUUUCUCUUCUUUUUCACUUUUAUACGCCUCUGGGUUGAUGGUUUCUGGCCAAGGCCAGAGGUACUAAAAUACCAUAAGAAAGGAGAACUUUGAAGUGAUCAUCUGUUCAGCCAAGAAGGAGGUGGUGCUGCCUAAAGGUUCACUAGGAAUGCGGUCUUCUGGAGCUUUAGACAGAGUUCCUAGGAGGCCCCCAGAGACAGACAGAUGCCUUGGAGUUGAUUUGGAGAAACAUCUGAACUUCUGGAUGGAGUUCUGAGCCGAGCCUGAAACCCUCUGGGAGCCUUCAUUUGCUCCCAGACAAUCCAUGGAAACACCUGUUCCAAGUCUGAGCUGACUGGACCACCGCCUUUGAUUUUGGAAAACUCAGAGACCAGAUCUUGAAUCGUCCUUUCAGAAUGUACUCUGGAAUUCCUUGUUCUUCAGUGCAAAGAUUUAGAUAAAGUUAUCUGACCAUGUGAAUGACAGAUCUGAGAAUGUGAUGACUUUAUUGAUAGGUCCUACUGGACACUUCCUUGGCCCAGCAGCAUCAGCACCUCCUGGGAUCUUGCUAGAAAUACUAAAUCUCAGGCCCCACCCCAGACCUGCUAUUUCAGAAUCUGUAAUUUAACAAGAUCCCAGUUAAUUAGCAUGCACAUUCCAGUUUGAGAAAAGCGGCACUAAAAAGCUUUGUCAAAUAGGCAGUGUGCUCCCAUUUCUCGGCAUUGUGCCUGUGACAGGCAUCAAUAAUCAACCAGAGAAUCACUUCCUUCUGAGAGCAGAAUAUUCUCAAGUCAUGGUUUCAGGUCGCAGUGACCAAUCAAUGGGAGUUGGCUCAAAAUUAAACCUAUCUUCCAUACUGGUGUCAACACUUGAAGAAAGCUCUUUUAUAUCAACCCAUAUACACAUCAUACAUGCCUGAUAAAUGUCUGUGGAAUGAAUGUGUUUUCCCCUAGCCUUGUUUCCUGUGAUAUUCACACUAUUCCAGUCCAUACCCACAGAAAAUCAGAACUUCACUGGGCAUCUGGGAAGUUCAGCAGCUGUUCUAGGUGUUGGAUUUUGCUAUUGGCCAUGACCCAUUAGAAGGUUGAGGUGAGGUUGGAAAGAUGUUAGGGAUGGAAUGAAGACACAUGGGAACCCAUCUGGCUGUGGCACAUGGACCUCAAACCAUGCAAGUUUUCUUUUUUCUUUCUUUCUUUUUUUCUUUUUCUUGAGAUGGAGUCUUGCUCUGUCUCCCAGGCUGGAGUGCGAUGGCACGAUCUCGGCUUACUGCACCCUCUGCCUCCCAGGUUCAAGCUAUUCUCCUGCCUCAGCCUCCCGAGUAGCUGGGAUUACAGGGGCAUGCCACCAUGCCCAGCUAACUUUUGUAUUUUUAGUAGAGACGGGGUCUCACCAUGUCAGCCAGGCUUGUCUCAGACUCCUGACCUCAGGUGAUCCGCCCACCUCUGCCUCCCAAAGUACUGGGAUUACAGGCAUGAGUCACCAUGCUUGGCCGCAAGUUUUCUUCAGGACAUGGCCCCAUGUAGUCCAGCUCUACAAGGUGGCUGCUGUGUGAACUAGGCUACAUGCCGAAACGGGACUGUGGGGGGAGUCAGCAGGGAGGGCAGACCAACAGCCCUGUAAGACAUAGCAAUAAUGAUUAUAAAUAGCAUCCUCCUGACCGCCUUUUGAUGUACUGUCCAAGGCCAGGUGGAAAAUCUUUCCUCCCCUGCCUUUCCCCACUAAUCACCUUCCCCUCAUUUUUCAAUAAAGACUCUGAGCCCAGUC